CAUCACUUGACAACCUGCGCCAUGUCAGCAGGAAGAUAUGAUAACCUGCUAAAAGUUCUAGGUGAUUUUUUUUUCUUGAUUUGCGGCUUGAUAUAUACGAUAUGAAAGUUCAUGGUGCGGGAUGAAUAAUCAAAUAUGGUUCAUGGUGCUAGAUGACACUUUAGCCAAGUGUAA